rnacentral:lncRNA from 1 species
UAGAGUAGUUCUAUCUAUAUGCGUAUCUGUUGACCUGGUUGGUCGGUUGUUGCAUUCCGUAUCUGUUGACCUGGUUGGUGCACCCAUGUUAUUCCAUUAUACUCUGCUCGUUGUUUGCAUGCUUAGUAUCCUGAGUAGGAGUAGAGUAGUUCUAUCUAUAUGCGUAUCUGUUGACCUGGUUGGUCGGUUGUUGCAUUCCGUAUCUGUUGACCUGGUUGGUCGGUUCUCGUACUUCGUAUCAGUGACCUUGCUGGUCGGUUGGACUCUGUGGAUCUUAGGUCCAGGCAACGCAUUGACUCUCUCGCCAUGUGUUUCGAUCUGGUUGAUCGAGGUUCGGCGUUGUACGCCCUUGUUUCUGGCUUCGGCCUAGGCACCGGUUUCAGCCGGUUUUUGUAUUGAGCAUACCAGCAUGACUUAGUCACAGCACUUGGG